rnacentral:rRNA from 1 species
ACAGUGGACGCGAGCAUCUGUGGCCAAGUUUUUAAGGGCGCACGGUGGAUGCCUUGGCACCAGGAACCGAUGAAGGACGUGGGAGGCCACGAUAGUCCCCGGGGAGUCGUCAACCAGGCUUUGAUCCGGGGGUUUCCGAAUGGGGAAACCCGGCAGUCGUCAUGGGCUGUCACCCGCUGCUGAACUCAUAGGCAGUGUGGAGGGAACGCGGGGAAGUGAAACAUCUCAGUACCCGCAGGAACAGAAAACAACCGUGAUUCCGGGAGUAGUGGCGAGCGAAACUGGAUGAGGCCAAACCGUAUGUGUGUGAUACCCGGCAGGGGUUGCGCAUGCGGGGUUGUGGGAUCUCUCUUCUACGGUCUGCCGGCCGUGGGACGAGUCAGAAACCGUUGAUGUAGGCGAAGGACAUGCGAAAGGUCCGGCGUAGAGGGUAAGACCCCCGUAGUCGAAACAUCAGCGGCUCGUUUGAGAGACACCCAAGUAGCACGGGGCCCGAGAAAUCCCGUGUGAAUCUGGCGGGACCACCCGCUAAGCCUAAAUAUUCCCUGGUGACCGAUAGCGGAUAGUACCGUGAGGGAAUGGUGAAAAGUACCGCGGGAGCGGAGUGAAAUAGUACCUGAAACCGUGUGCCUACAAGCCGUGGGAGCGUCGCGCAAGAACUUCGGUUCUUGCGUCGUGACUGCGUGCCUUUUGAAGAAUGAGCCUGCGAGUUAGCGGUGUGUAGCGAGGUUAACCCGUGUGGGGAAGCCGUAGCGAAAGCGAGUCCGAAGAGGGCGUUUGAGUUGCACGCUCUAGACCCGAAGCGGAGUGAUCUAGCCAUGGGCAGGUUGAAGCGGCUGUAAGAGGUCGUGGAGGACCGAACCCACCAGGGUUGAAAACCUGGGGGAUGACCUGUGGUUAGGGGUGAAAGGCCAAUCAAACUCCGUGAUAGCUGGUUCUCCCCGAAAUGCAUUUAGGUGCAGCGUCGUGUGUUUCUUGCCGGAGGUAGAGCACUGGAUAGGCGAUGGGCCCUACCGGGUUACUGACCUUAGCCAAACUCCGAAUGCCGGUAAGUGAGAGCGCGGCAGUGAGACUGUGGGGGAUAAGCUCCAUGGUCGAGAGGGAAACAGCCCAGAGCAUCGACUAAGGCCCCUAAGCGUACGCUAAGUGGGAAAGGAUGUGGAGUCGCAGAGACAACCAGGAGGUUGGCUUAGAAGCAGCCACCCUUGAAAGAGUGCGUAAUAGCUCACUGGUCUAGUGAUUCCGCGCCGACAAUGUAGCGGGGCUCAAGCGUACCGCCGAAGUCGUGUCAUUGCAGCAAUACUCCCAACGGAGGCUGUGAUGGGUAGGGGAGCGUCGUGUGCCGGGUGAAGCAGCCGUGGAAGCGAGUUGUGGACGGUUCACGAGUGAGAAUGCAGGCAUGAGUAGCGAUUCACACGUGAGAAACGUGUGCGCCGAUUGACUAAGGGUUCCUGGGUCAAGCUGAUCUGCCCAGGGUAAGUCGGGACCUAAGGCGAGGCCGACAGGCGUAGUCGAUGGAUAACCGGUUGAUAUUCCGGUACCCGCUGUGAAGCGUCAAACAUUGAAUCCAGUGAUGCUAAGCCCGUGAAGCCGUUCCGGACCCUUCGGGGAAUGGAAAGUGGUGGAGCCGGUG